AUAUAACCGUUGCUCAAUAUGGCGCGCGUAGGCGUGGAACAACAGGAACGUGUCCACAUUGAGGUCAAGAAGACGGGGACGUUCGUGGCUAUUGCAAAAGGUGCAUACAACAGUCACAACUUCGCCGUAAAGAACCUCCAGGAUUGUAAACGUCCGUACGAGUACGAUGGCAGAGAAGCCUACCUGUGCCUGCCGUUCGGAGGGGGCUUCUCUAGUUGCGGAGAUUUCUUCGCAGCGGCUGUUUACUAUGUCUCUUUGCUCACGUGGAUUAUUCCCGCUGUGGUAAAAUAAUUUGAUAUUUUUUUUCUUUUGUGGCAUAAACAAAUUAAUACUGAGGCAUUUGAUUGUACGACAUACUGCUCACCAUAGUACUACAUGGAACUAUGCACCAACAGAUAUGAUCUAAGUUAGGUGUGACGGGUCGUUCGGUGUAAUAUAACCAGCUGCUGCCGCGUGCCUGCGAAGCUGGUGUGUUACGCCGAACGGCGGUUAUACCGGCUAUAUAAAUACAGAUACAAUAUUUCUGAAUAUUGGAACUACAUUUUGGAUAGUAACGAUAUAUCAAUAAAAGUCUUAAACAGUGAAAUGUUUCUGAAAUUUUCUAUCAUAAACACAUAACACAACUUUCUUAAUUAGGCAAUUUUUGCCAAAUGGAUUUUACAUACGUAUACACAUACAUGCAUUCUUAUUUCAUUUUAGUUGGCUUAUGGGACUGUGAACAGGCGACCAUCUGAAGAGCUAUUCUCAAAAGGCUAUUUGGAUUUCUCGUUCGUCUUCUACUUCUUCUUGUCUCUCUAUCACGUGGCUGCCUUCGUCAUCAUCUGUAUUAACUGGAACACCUUCAACAACGCCUGGUACAUGAUUGAGGUCAACAAUCUUGUUGAUUCCAAAAAUGAGUUCUUUGAAGUUACCGCCUCUUCUGCUCGGUCUCUUACAUUCCUACAUGCCGAUCAACAAAACUUCCUUCUUGCCCGGCUGGAGGCAAGCAAUGAUGUUACCCUUGGUGUUAUGGCAUACACCUCUGCCUACACAAGAGACCAGUUUACUGUUCCUGCCAUCCAGCUUUUCGUUUUCACCGCUCUAUCAAUUAUGUCCGCCGGCAUACAGUUUGGCACGCUGGCAAAUUUUACGUGAAAAAUGAGGCUUUCCUAAUAAUUUGUUAAAGACCGCAAAUUAAACACCCAAAUUUUGCGGAAAUCAUUGUCAUGUUUGUAUGAUAAAUGCUGGAGAGAUUCAAGUUGUUUGUUUAACUGAACUAGUAGGUAAGCUAAACGAUUGACUAGCCUGGGCUUUAUCAUCAUGAUCAAACAUGCCAAGUGCUUUCUUUAUGAUCAUUAGUCAACAAAGGUUUGUAUAGAAUACAGAUGCUUAUAUACUACAAUUAUAUGAGAAGUCAACAAGACUGUGUGUAUCAGUUUGCAUAUAUUUUGGCAUAUAUUUUGGUAAACACUUUGACAAAUAGCCCGACUUCGAAAUAAGGAGUUUAAGGGUCUAUUGUUUAGGCAAGGCAGAGAAUACAUUGACGUGUUGACCUGCAAGUAAUUUGAAUGACUUUUUGGAAAUGUAUGAAGAAGCAGAUAAACCAGCUAUAGG